AUUGAACGCUGCGGCAUGCCUUACACAUGCAAGUCGAGCGGCAGCGCGGGGGCAACCCUGGCGGCGAGCGGCGAACGGGUGAGUAAUACAUCGGUACGUGUCCUGUCGUGGGGGAUAACCAGUCGAAAGACUGGCUAAUACCGCAUGAGAUCGAAAGAUGAAAGCGGGGGACCGCAAGGCCUCGCGCGAUUGGAGCGGCCGAUGUCGGAUUAGCUAGUUGGCGGGGUAAAAGCCCACCAAGGCGACGACCCGUAGCUGGUUUGAGAGAACGACCAGCCACACUGGGACUGAGACACGGCCCAGACUCCUACGGGAGGCAGCAGUGGGGAAUUUUGGACAAUGGGGGCAACCCUGAUCCAGCCAUGCCGCGUGUGUGAAGAAGGCCUUCGGGUUGUAAAGCACUUUCGGCCGGAACGAAAUCGCGCGGAUUAAUAACCUGCGUGGAUGACGGUACCGGAAGAAGAAGCACCGGCUAACUACGUGCCAGCAGCCGCGGUAA
rnacentral:rRNA from 1 species